GUCCACGCCGUAAACGUUGGGCACUAGGUGUGGGACCUUAUCAACGGGUUCCGUGCCGUAGCUAACGCAUUAAGUGCCCCGCCUGGGGAGUACGGCCGCAAGGCUAAAACUCAAAGGAAUUGACGUGGGCCCGCACAAGCGGCGGAGCAUGUGGCUUAAUUCGAUGCGACGCGAAGAACCUUACCUGGGCUUGACAUGUAGGGAAAAGCCGUAGAGAUACGGUGUCCUUCGGGGCCUUACACAGGUGGUGCAUGGCUGUCGU
rnacentral:rRNA from 1 species